rnacentral:rRNA from 1 species
AAAGGGUGCGUAGGCGGCCUGUUAAGUCAGAGGUGAAAGACGGUAGCUCAACUAUCGCAGUGCCUUUGAUACUGAUGGGCUUGAAUGGACUAGAGGUAGGCGGAAUGAGACAAGUAGCGGUGAAAUGCAUAGAUAUGUCUCAGAACACCGAUUGCGAAGGCAGCUUACUAUGGUUUUAUUGACGCUGAGGCACGAAAGCGUGGGGAGCAAACAGGAUUAGAUACCCUGGU